rnacentral:pre_miRNA from 1 species
AAAGUACUCCCUCUGUCCCAAAAUUCUUGUCUUAGAUUUGUCUAGAUACGGAUGUAUCAAGUCACAUUUUAGUAUUAGAUACAUCUGUAUCUAGACA